rnacentral:rRNA from 1 species
UACGUAGGGAGCGAGCGUUAUCCGGAAUUAUUGGGCGUAAAGCGUGCGUAGGCGGCCUAUUAAGUCAAAUGUGAAAGCCCACAGCUCAACUGUGGAGGGUCAUUUGAAACUGGUAAGCUAGAGUACGGCAGAGGUUAGUGGAAUUCAAUGUGUAGCGGUAAAAUGCGUUGAUAUAUUGAGGAACACCAGUGGCGAAGGCGGCUAACUGGACCGGAACUGACGCUGAGGCACGAAAGCGUGGGGAGCAAACAGGAUUAGAUACCGUGUAGUCC